rnacentral:misc_RNA from 1 species
UUUCCGUAGGUGAACCUGCGGAAGGAUCAUUAAAGAGAAUAAGCCCUUCGGGGUAGAUCUCCCACCCUUUGUUUAUAUUACCUUUGUUGCUUUGGCAGGCCCUUCAUCGGACCACCGGCUUCGGCUGGUCAGUGCUUGCCAGGGGACCCAAAACUCUUAUUAUUAAUGACGUCUGAGUACUAUAUAAUAGUUAAAACUUUCAACAACGGAUCUCUUGGUUCUG